rnacentral:tRNA from 1 species
AUUUUAAUAGCUUAUUUAUUUAAAGCUUUAUAUUGAAGAUAUAAGAAAGAUUAGUUUAAAUCUUAAAAUA